rnacentral:rRNA from 1 species
GACGUAGGGCGCGAGCGUUGUCCGGAUUUAUUGGGCGUAAAGAGCUCGUAGGCGGCUUGUCGCGUCGUCCGUGAAAACUCAGGGCUCAACCCUGAGCUUGCGGGCGAUACGGGCAGGCUAGAGUUCGGUAGGGGAGACUGGAAUUCCUGGUGUAGCGGUGAAAUGCGCAGAUAUCAGGAGGAACACCGGUGGCGAAGGCGGGUCUCUGGGCCGGAACUGACGCUAAGGAGCGAAAGCGUGGGGAGCGAACAGG